rnacentral:rRNA from 1 species
UCAGGACGAACGUUGGCGGCGUGCUUAAUACAUGCAAGUNGAGCGAAUCUUUAGGAGCUUGNUCCUGAAGAUUAGCGGCGGACGGNUGAGUAAAAUGUGGGCAACCUGCCNGUAAGACUGGGAUAACUUUCGGGAAACCGGAGCUAAUACCGGAUAAUCCUUUCCUUCUCAUGAGGGAAAGCUGAAAGUCGGUUUCGGCUGACACUUACAGAUGGGCCCGCGGCGCAUUAGNUAGUUGGUGAGGUAACGGCUCACCAAGGCGACGAUGCGUAGCCGACCUGAGAGGGUGAUCGGCCACACUGGGACUGAGACACGGCCCAGACUCCUACGGGAGGCAGCAGUAGGGAAUCUUCCGCAAUGGACGAAAGUCUGACGGAGCAACGCCGCGUGAGCGAUGAAGGCCUUCGGGUCGUAAAGCUCUGUUGUUAGGGAAGAACAAGUAUCGGAGUAACUGCCGGUACCUUGACGGUACCUAACCAGAAAGCCACGGCUAACUACGUGCCAGCAGCCGCGGUAAUACGUAGGUGGCAAGCGUUGUCCGGAAUUAUUGGGCGUAAAGCGCGCGCAGGCGGUCCUUUAAGUCUGAUGUGAAAGCCCACGGCUCAACCGUGGAGGGUCAUUGGAAACUGGGGGACUUGAGUGCAGAAGAGGAAAGCGGAAUUCCACGUGUAGCGGUGAAAUGCGUAGAGAUGUGGAGGAACACCAGUGGCGAAGGCGGCUUUCUGGUCUGUAACUGACNCNNAGGCGGGNAAGCGUGGGA